rnacentral:tRNA from 7 species
GCGGGUAUAGUUAAGUGGCAGAAUAUCUGCUUGCCAUGCAGAAGACGCGGGUUCAAUUCCCGCUACCCGCA